AAUCUUCGGGGCAGGGUGGAAUUCCCUACCGGCGGUAAAGCCCGCAAACCUUUAUUGGGUAUGAUUUGGUGAAAUUCCAAAGCCGACAGUAAAGUCUGGAUGAGAGAAGAUA
rnacentral:ncRNA from 1 species